rnacentral:lncRNA from 1 species
CUAAUAAUUAGUUUCUAAUUAACUAUAUUUGAAAAAAAUAAAUUAUUGAUAAAAUAUGAUAUCAUAUUGUAUUUUUUCAUAUCUAAUUUGUAUUUUCUUUUCCGCCAAUACUUAGGACAUCGGUUAGGAGGUCCUAGCUAAGAUAUUCAUAAGAUAGCUUCGAUGUGCAUGCUGAGACGUGUCGUAAGUCGGUCCUUACUUUAUCCUAAAUUCUGUCCUAAGAAAUUCUUAGGACGUAACUUAGGACAGUUUCGAUAAACAGGCCCCA